CACCAGGUUGAUUCUGCCUGAUAUGUGUGCUAGCGUCAAAGAUUUAGCCAUGCAUGCUUUUCGAACCCUCGUGGGGAGAGGCGGAUAGCUCAGUAAUACAGUUACAACAUAAGCUGCGUGUGUGGAUAACCUUGUUAAGAUAAGGCUAAGACUUAGCGUGUCGCACUUUUGUGAAGAAAGGCGACUUGAGCAGCAUUGGUUUCUGACCUAUCAGUUAGUAUGUUCUGUAAGGGAGAACAUAGACUAUGACGGGUAACGGGGGAUGCACGUCUGAUACCGGAGAGGAAGCCUUAGAGACAGCUUUCACGUCCAAGGAUGGCAGCAGGCGCGAAACUUACCCAAUUGUUUUUUGUGACAGAGGUAGUUAUGACGUAUUCUUUAGAGAGAGACCUUGUUAGACAUGGUCCAUAGCGACUGGAGGGCAAGUCUGGUGCCAGCAGCCGCGGUAAUUCCAGCUCCAGUAGUGCAUAUACAUGCUGUAGUUAGAAAGUUUGUAGCCUAUUUAUGGAUUGUUUUAGACAAAAGGACGACUCAAAUUGACCUUUCAUUUGACUAAUGCAUGAAUGUAGAAGCGAUUGAAGGCGAUUGUAUUCACCAGCCAGAGGUAAAAUUUGAUGACCUGGUGAGGACACACGGAGGCGAAAGCGAUUGCCUAGAGCGUAUUCAGUGGUCAAGAACGUAAGCCGGAGGAUCAAAGAUGAUUAGAUACCGUUGUAGUUCCGGCCGUAAAUUAUGCCAACUUGUGCUUCUGCUUCUGCGGAGGCGCAUAGAGAAAUCAAGAGUUUAUGGGCUCUAGGGAUAGUAAUCCGGCAACGGACAAACUUAAAGAAAUUGGCGGAAGGACACCACAAGGAGUGGAUUAUGCGGCUUAAUUUGACUCAACGCGGGACAACUCACCAGAGCCUAUGUGCAGGAGACAGUGAGCUUUGAGAGCGGACUGGAUAGUACUUUGAGUGGUGCAUGGCCGUUUGCAACACGUGAGGUGACUUGUCAGGUUUACUCCGGUAACGUGUGAUGUGCUGUAUGCAAGUAUUUUUGUGAGACUGCAGGCGGUAAGCCUGAUGAAGCGGCGCUAUAACAGGUCAGUGAUGCCCUUGGAUGUUCUGGGCUGCACGCGUAAUACAGUGGGUGCUGUAGAUAUAUAUAGGUGGAAAAGGGCCCGAGACUGGGAUCAUGCUUUGUAAGAAGGAAUGUGAACGUGGAAUUCCUAGUAAUCGCUGCUCACUAAGUAGCGAUGAAUGAGUCCCUGUUCUUUGCACACACCGCCCGUCGCUAUCUGAGAUGGAUGUUUUUAUGAAGAUGCUGCUGUUAGAGGCAUUUGAGUAAGGACGACUAGAUUAGAUAUAAGUCGUAACAAGGCAGCGGUAGAAGAAUCUGCCGCUAGAUCAUAC
rnacentral:rRNA from 1 species